rnacentral:rRNA from 1 species
UACGUAGGGUGCGAGCGUUGCCCGGAUUUAUUGGGCGUAAAGAGCUCGUAGGCGGUGUGUCACGUCGGCCGUGAAAACCUGGGGCUUAACUCUGGGCGUGCGGUCGAUACGGGCAUCACUAGAGUUCGGCAGGGGAGACUGGAAUUCCUGGUGUAGCGGUGAAAUGCGCAGAUAUCAGGAGGAACACCGGUGGCGAAGGCGGGUCUCUGGGCCGAUACUGACGCUGAGGAGCGAAAGCAUGGGUAGCGAACAGG